ACGCGACCCCAGGUCAGGCGGGGCUACCCGCUGAGUUUAAGCAUAUCAAUAAGCGGA
rnacentral:rRNA from 5 species